GUUCGAUUAGUUCAGCUGGAUAGAAUGUCUGCCUACGGAGCAGAUGGUCGUAGGUUCGAAUCCUGCAUCGGGUA
rfam:Perkinsus marinus ATCC 50983 gcontig_1104296757802, whole genome shotgun sequence.